CUGUGUUGGUUCCGCAUGUGUAGUCGGAUCCCUUUUCUGUGGAGAACGUUCUGUGGAGGGACAAACCACUAAUUUGCCCCAAGUGAAUGUGGCUGUAGUGACAGCGACAGUGCCUCUGAUCUGAGAAGCAGGGCUGGCUGCCGGUGACAAGCAUCCCAGUUCCUUUCCCCAGAGAUGAAGCGGAUGUUUUCAGACAGAGCUCGGCUCAGGAAUUUCGCUUGGAGAAUCAGUGUUUAUGUGCACAAUGUUUUAGUGAGCCUGCUCUGCGCCUGCAUAUGGGGAAGCCCUCGACUGUUCACCGGGCUCGUGGGCGACGGCUGCCGUCAGCUGGACAGUGGAUAAGUUUUCUGACGUAGUCACCACAGAUUCAGGGAUAUCGCUUUGUGUCGACUCCUAAGGAAGGCAGGACGAUAUGACUUGGUAACAUUGUAAAGGUUCAC
rnacentral:lncRNA from 1 species